rnacentral:tRNA from 1 species
GGGAUUGUAGUUCAGUUGGUAGAACGUUUCUUUCGCACUCCAAGAAGAAGCUCUCUCUCGAUCACCAGAGAAAAGAGUUAUUCGAGUCGAAACGCACCUAGAAAAGGUCUUGGGUUCAAUUCCCAACAAUUCCA